UUUAAGUGAGUAACCUGCAUAUGCUUUUUAACUUGCUGAAAGUGACAUUUUGUUCUUCAUUCUUGUCUUUCUCUCUCCUCCAAAACACUUAAACUGUUUCCAAUUUAGGGUUUUCGACUUGAAACUCUAAAAUUGUGUCCAAUUUAGGGUUUUCCAAGAUACUGCAUGCUAAAAUCAUUCAUGAAUCAAGCCAGCUAAGCUACUAUGAGCAAGAGCAAAUCAAAUCACUGGAAAAUGAUGAUUUGAUUUGCAGGUAAUUUAUGGCUAUUUAACCACAAUCUACCAAAUUUUCAGAGGAAUUCUCAGCUGCUUCGAGUUCUGCUGUCACAUAUCAAAUUCCUGUAUCUCAGGCUAGGACUUCUGCAAUCUAGGACUUCUGGAGGCAUUUUCUUAUUCUUUCUUUUCCUUCAGUCUUAGCUAUUUGAUUUGUAUGUCUUAGUGUUCAUGCAUUGUGCUCCUGAACUAUUAUUGUUACAUAUGUGCAAAUGCAAAUUUGUAAAGACUAUUUUGAUUGUUAAAGAGAUUAGUAUUUGACAGUACCGGAGACUUGGAUUUAUCAGAAUUGGCCAAGUGCACAAGAUUCAUUGUAAUUUUUUUAGCAGUUGUUUAAAGAACAAAGUGUAUUAUUCUUAUAACAAAAGUGUAACACGACGAAUUUAUAUA